rnacentral:rRNA from 1 species
GAUGAACGCUGGCGGCGUGCCUAAUACAUGCAAGUCGAGCGAAUGGAUUGAGAGCUUGCUCUUAUGAAGUUAGCGGCGGACGGGUGAGUAACACGUGGGUAACCUGCCCAUAAGACUGGGAUAACUCCGGGAAACCGGGGCUAAUACCGGAUAACAUUUUGAACCGCAUGGUUCGAAAUUGAAAGGCGGCUUCGGCUGUCACUUAUGGAUGGACCCCAGUCGCAUUCGCUAGUUGGUGAGGUAACGGCUCACCAAGGCAACGAUGCGUAGCCGACCUGAGAGGGUGAUCGGCCACACUGGGACUGAGACACGGCCCAGACUCCUACGGGAGGCAGCAGUAGGGAAUCUUCCGCAAUGGACGAAAGUCUGACGGAGCAACGCCGCGUGAGUGAUGAAGGCUUUCGGGUCGUAAAACUCUGUUGUUAGGGAAGAACAAGUGCUAGUUGAAUAAGCUGGCACCUUGACGGUACCUAACCAGAAAGCCACGGCUAACUACGUGCCAGCCGCCGCGGUAA